UAGUGUUGGCUCUUUUGAGGAAUUGAUUCAUUUCUUCUAACUAGACAAAUUUAUAAACUGUCUGUAAGAAACAGACAAAGCACCACAAGAUGCAAGAGGAAACAACAGGAGACAAAUAUCGGUACAUCUUUGAAGCUGGAAGACAAACACUUUCAUCUCCUUAAUUUUCUUUCUGACAGCAAGUACUGGGAGAGGAGGGGCCAUGAAAAGAAUUACCACACGGCCCAUGAACAAGGACAUUCCUGGGACAAGACAGUGUGCCUUGGCGAUGGGCUGCCUCAGCUCAGAAAUUGGAAACAACCCAGAUGUCCCUCCACUAAAGAACGGCUGAAGAAAAUGUGGUACAUUUACACAAUGGAAUACUACUCAGCUUUUAAAAACCAAGACAUCAUGUAAUUUGCAAGCAAAUUGAUUGAACUAGAGAAGACCAUACUGAGUGAGGUAACCGAGAUCCCAAAACACAAGAAUGGGGACAUGGAGAAUGAAGAGGCCACCUCCUGGCCAGACAGGAGCCUAGCAUAACUGUCCUCUGCGAAACUCCACCCAUCAGCAGAUUGAAACAGAUGCUGAGACCCACAGCCAAACUUUAGGCAGAGCUCAGGGAGUCUUGUGGAAGAGUGGUACGGAAGAAUAGAAGAUCUGGGAGGGGACAAGAACACCUCAGGAAGACCAACAGAGUCAUCUACCCUAAGCCCAUACGGGCUUAGAGAGACUAAAACAUCAACCAAAGAGCAA